rnacentral:rRNA from 1 species
GGUUAAGCGACUAAGCGUACACGGUGGAUGCCCUGGCAGUCAGAGGCGAUGAAGGACGUGCUAAUCUGCGAUAAGCGUCGGUAAGGUGAUAUGAACCGUUAUAACCGGCGAUUUCCGAAUGGGGAAACCCAGUGUGAUUCGUCACACUAUCAUUAACUGAAUCCAUAGGUUAAUGAGGCGAACCGGGGGAACUGAAACAUCUAAGUACCCCGAGGAAAAGAAAUCAACCGAGAUUCCCCCAGUAGCGGCGAGCGAACGGGGAGGAGCCCAGAGCCUGAAUCAGUGUGUGUGUUAGUGGAAGCGUUUGGAAAGGCGCGCGAUACAGGGUGACAGCCCCGUACACAAAAAUGCACAUGCUGUGAGCUCGAUGAGUAGGGCGGGACACGUGGUAUCCUGUCUGAAUAUGGGGGGACCAUCCUCCAAGGCUAAAUACUCCUGACUGACCGAUAGUGAACCAGUACCGUGAGGGAAAGGCGAAAAGAACCCCGGCGAGGGGAGUGAAAAAGAACCUGAAACCGUGUACGUACAAGCAGUGGGAGCACAGAGCAAUCUGUGUGACUGCGUACCUUUUGUAUAAUGGGUCAGCGACUUAUAUUCUGUAGCAAGGUUAACCGAAUAGGGGAGCCGAAGGGAAACCGAGUCUUAACUGGGCGUUAAGUUGCAGGGUAUAGACCCGAAACCCGGUGAUCUAGCCAUGGGCAGGUUGAAGGUUGGGUAACACUAACUGGAGGACCGAACCGACUAAUGUUGAAAAAUUAGCGGAUGACUUGUGGCUGGGGGUGAAAGGCCAAUCAAACCGGGAGAUAGCUGGUUCUCCCCGAAAGCUAUUUAGGUAGCGCCUCGUGAAUUCAUCUCCGGGGGUAGAGCACUGUUUCGGCAAGGGGGUCAUCCCGACUUACCAACCCGAUGCAAACUGCGAAUACCGGAGAAUGUUAUCACGGGAGACACACGGCGGGUGCUAACGUCCGUCGUGAAGAGGGAAACAACCCAGACCGCCAGCUAAGGUCCCAAAGUCAUGGUUAAGUGGGAAACGAUGUGGGAAGGCCCAGACAGCCAGGAUGUUGGCUUAGAAGCAGCCAUCAUUUAAAGAAAGCGUAAUAGCUCACUGGUCGAGUCGGCCUGCGCGGAAGAUGUAACGGGGCUAAACCAUGCACCGAAGCUGCGGCAGCGACACUGUGUGUUGUUGGGUAGGGGAGCGUUCUGUAAGCCUGUGAAGGUGUGCUGUGAGGCAUGCUGGAGGUAUCAGAAGUGCGAAUGCUGACAUAAGUAACGAUAAAGCGGGUGAAAAGCCCGCUCGCCGGAAGACCAAGGGUUCCUGUCCAACGUUAAUCGGGGCAGGGUGAGUCGACCCCUAAGGCGAGGCCGAAAGGCGUAGUCGAUGGGAAACAGGUUAAUAUUCCUGUACUUGGUGUUACUGCGAAGGGGGGACGGAGAAGGCUAUGUUGGCCGGGCGACGGUUGUCCCGGUUUAAGCGUGUAGGCUGGUUUUCCAGGCAAAUCCGGAAAAUCAAGGCUGAGGCGUGAUGACGAGGCACUACGGUGCUGAAGCAACAAAUGCCCUGCUUCCAGGAAAAGCCUCUAAGCAUCAGGUAACAUCAAAUCGUACCCCAAACCGACACAGGUGGUCAGGUAGAGAAUACCAAGGCGCUUGAGAGAACUCGGGUGAAGGAACUAGGCAAAAUGGUGCCGUAACUUCGGGAGAAGGCACGCUGAUAUGUAGGUGAAGUCCCUCGCGGAUGGAGCUGAAAUCAGUCGAAGAUACCAGCUGGCUGCAACUGUUUAUUAAAAACACAGCACUGUGCAAACACGAAAGUGGACGUAUACGGUGUGACGCCUGCCCGGUGCCGGAAGGUUAAUUGAUGGGGUCAGCGCAAGCGAAGCUCUUGAUCGAAGCCCCGGUAAACGGCGGCCGUAACUAUAACGGUCCUAAGGUAGCGAAAUUCCUUGUCGGGUAAGUUCCGACCUGCACGAAUGGCGUAAUGAUGGCCAGGCUGUCUCCACCCGAGACUCAGUGAAAUUGAACUCGCUGUGAAGAUGCAGUGUACCCGCGGCAAGACGGAAAGACCCCGUGAACCUUUACUAUAGCUUGACACUGAACAUUGAGCCUUGAUGUGUAGGAUAGGUGGGAGGCUUUGAAGUGUGGACGCCAGUCUGCAUGGAGCCGACCUUGAAAUACCACCCUUUAAUGUUUGAUGUUCUAACGUGGACCCGUGAUCCGGGUUGCGGACAGUGUCUGGUGGGUAGUUUGACUGGGGCGGUCUCCUCCUAAAGAGUAACGGAGGAGCACGAAGGUUGGCUAAUCCUGGUCGGACAUCAGGAGGUUAGUGCAAUGGCAUAAGCCAGCUUGACUGCGAGCGUGACGGCGCGAGCAGGUGCGAAAGCAGGUCAUAGUGAUCCGGUGGUUCUGAAUGGAAGGGCCAUCGCUCAACGGAUAAAAGGUACUCCGGGGAUAACAGGCUGAUACCGCCCAAGAGUUCAUAUCGACGGCGGUGUUUGGCACCUCGAUGUCGGCUCAUCACAUCCUGGGGCUGAAGUAGGUCCCAAGGGUAUGGCUGUUCGCCAUUUAAAGUGGUACGCGAGCUGGGUUUAGAACGUCGUGAGACAGUUCGGUCCCUAUCUGCCGUGGGCGCUGGAGAACUGAGGGGGGCUGCUCCUAGUACGAGAGGACCGGAGUGGACGCAUCACUGGUGUUCGGGUUGUCAUGCCAAUGGCACUGCCCGGUAGCUAAAUGCGGAAGAGAUAAGUGCUGAAAGCAUCUAAGCACGAAACUUGCCCCGAGAUGAGUUCUCCCUGACCCUUUAAGGGUCCUGAAGGAACGUUGAAGACGACGACGUUGAUAGGCCGGGUGUGUAAGCGCAGCGAUGCGUUGAGCUAACCGGUACUAAUGAACCGUGAGGCUUAACCUU